GUGAUAAUUUGUAUAUUUUGUAUUGCGGAAAUGGACAAAGUUGACAAUAAAUCCUCUUUUAUGCAGUCAAUUUUGGUUUUUCAAGUGUGCAAUUUGUUGUAAAUGAUGCCAGAUCGUUGGAGCUUCAUAUUGUGAAUAACGGGUAGGCAGAAUUUAAUUUUUUUCUUCGAAAAUAUCAAUAUUUGUCGACCCGUAUGAAGGGCGCCCAUAGGACAAACCCUAUGGACAAACCAUCAUUGUUGAUGUAUAUAUAAAUAUAGUUCCACCAAUUCCAAAUAAAACAUUUUGAGCCAUCGCCAUUGCUUCAUGGCAAAAUUGUGAAUGUAUUUGCAUAUUCUUUUGUAAAAGACAGCGACACUGAAAAACAUAUUUUAGUCACAGUUUAUCAAUGGCAAAAAUAGACUUAAAAUCUUAAAUAGUCAAUAUAUAAAACAUUGACACCAAAAAUGGUUCUUACUCCUUACUAUUUGUAUAUUUAUUACAUACAUACAACAUAUAUAUUAUUUUAUAGUUCCAUGGAAUCACAUCAAGAUUAAAAUGUGUUAGAAGCUAGAGAAGAAUAAUUGCAACUUAAUAUAUUCGCAGGCAAUAUACAGGGUGUCUCAAAAAAACCCCAAAAUCAUUGAAAUAACGUAUUGUUCGAAUUUCAAUGCCGUAACACAAAGGAUUUUGACAGGGUGAUUAAUUUGUUUUAAAAAAUUAAAAUAUCUUUGUAAAGUGAACGUUUGUUUGCUCA